rnacentral:pre_miRNA from 1 species
AGUGGGAUAACUGGGUCAAAUGGUUCCAUUCCAAGUUUUCUGAGGAAUCUCUUUACUUUUUUCCAUAGUGGUUGCACCAAUUUGUAGUCCCACCAGCAAU